rnacentral:lncRNA from 1 species
UGGCGCUACCGGGGAGGACGCACUUGGCAAGGUAAUGGGAGUCACGGGCGGAUCCGAUGACGGCGGAGGAGGAGGAAGAGGACCGGGAUUUGGCGUUGGAGCAUUCCUCCUCAGUAACCGCCAUGACGGUGCUCUGGCGCAACCCUCGGUGUGCUCUGCCGCAACCCUAGGUAGGGUUUGUUUGCAGGGGGGACAAUAAGAUUUGUUCAGAAGGAGCUAAGCAGGUGACAGUGUGAAACUGAAUUCGACCGAAGCUUAGACGAGUACAAAAGGUGUUUAGAUGAAAUUAACCAUGGCGGUUACGUGCUGCUUCGGGAAGUUAGCUGGGGAAGCAUCGCCAUGGAUGGACGGAUUAGAGGUUCGGUUCCGCAGUAAUUGCGUCGUUAAAAUCUUCGUCAGACAGAUUGACGGUAGCUGAAGAUCAGGGGAAAGUGCUCUCUCUCUCUCUCUCUCCCUCCCUAUCUCUCUCCAUUUUCCAACCCGCCACGUGCACAAAAUAAUUAGGUGAUUGUUUACCCAGGAAAAAAGUAAUGUACCAUACUACCCUUAGGCUUCUUCACAAAAUUGCCGUGGGACAUCGUCGCCUUGUAUCGUUCCUUCCUUCUCCGGCCAAGUCGUCGGAGUCAGUGUAUAAUUAGGAUUCUCUU